ACGGACCGAAGGGAAAGCUUGCUUUUCCUGAAGUCAGUGGCGAACGGGUGAGUAACACGUAGGUAACCUGCCCAUGUGCCCGGGACAACGCCUGGAAACGGGUGCUAAAACCGGAUAGGUAGAGAGAUCGCAUGAACUUUCUAUUAAAGGGGCUACGGCCCUGAACAUGGAUGGACCUGCGGUGCAUUAGCUAGUUGGUGAGGUAACGGCCCACCAAGGCGACGAUGCAUAGCCGACCUGAGAGGGCGAACGGCCACAUUGGGACUGAGACACGGCCCAAACUCCUACGGGAGGCAGCAGUAGGGAAUUUUCGUCAAUGGGGGGAACCCUGAACGAGCAAUGCCGCGUGAGUGAAGACGGUCUUCGGAUUGUAAAGCUCUGUUGCGAGAGAAAAACGACACGGAUAGGGAAUGAUCCGUGGGUGAUGGUAUCUCGCCAGAAAGUCACGGCUAACUACGUGCCAGCAGCCGCGGUAAUACGUAGGUGGCGAGCGUUAUCCGGAAUGAUUGGGCGUAAAGGGUGCGUAGGCGGCCCGUUAAGUCUGGAGUCAAAGCCGGCAGCUCAACUGUCGUACGCUUUGGAAACUGGCGGGCUGGAGUGCAGAAGAGGGCGAUGGAACUCCAUGUGUAGCGGUAAAAUGCGCAGAUAUAUGGGAAGAACACCAGUGGCGAAGGCGGUCGCCUG
rnacentral:rRNA from 1 species